rnacentral:rRNA from 1 species
AAACAUGUCUUUUUGAGUUGUAUUUAAAGUCUAGCCUGCCCACUGAAUAAUUUUAAAUGGCCGCAGUAUUAUGACUGUGCAAAGGUAGCAUAAUCAUUAGUCUUUUAAUUGAAGGCUGGUAUGAACGGUUGGACGAAGUAUAAACUGUUUCAUAUAAAUUUUUUAUAGAAUUUUAUAUUUUAGUUAAAAAGCUAAAAUUUUAUUAAAAGACGAGAAGACCCUAUAAAUCUUUAUAUCUUAUAUUAUUUAAGUUUUUUAGAUUUAUUAAAUUUUUAUAUUAUGAGAUAUUUUGUUGGGGUGAUAUUAAAAUUUAAUGAACUUUUAAUUAUAAAAAUCAUUAAUUUAUGAAUUAUUGAUCCAUUAAUAUUGAUUAUAAGAUUAAGUUACUUUAGGGAUAACAGCGUAAUUUUUUUUGAGAGUUCUUAUCGAUAAAAAAGUUUGCGACCUCGAUGUUGGAUUAAGGUAUAAUUUUGGGUGUAGCUGUUCAAAUAUUAAGUCUGUUCGACUUUUAAAUCCUUACAUGAUC